UACGUAGGGUGCGAGCGUUAAUCGGAAUUACUGGGCGUAAAGCGUGCGUAGGUGGUUCGUUGUGUCUGUGGUGAAAGCCCCGGGCUUAACCUGGGAAUGGCCGUGGAACUGGCGAGCUGGAGUCUGGCAGAGGGGGGUGGAAUUCCGCGUGUAGCAGUGAAAUGCGUAGAGAUGCGGAGGAACACCGAUGGCGAAGGCAGCCCCCUGGGCUAAGACUGACGCUGAGGCACGAAAGCGUGGGGGAGCAAACAGG
rnacentral:rRNA from 1 species